CGGACGGGUGAGUAAUACUUAGGAAUCUGCCCAAUAGUGGGGGACAACAUUCGGAAACGGAUGCUAAUACCGCAUACGCACUACGGUGGAAAGUGGGGGACCUUCGGGCCUCACGCUAUUGGAUGAGCCUAAGUCGGAUUAGCUUGUUGGUGAGGUAAAAGCUCACCAAGGCGACGAUCCGUAGCUGGUCUGAGAGGACGAUCAGCCACACUGGGACUGAGACACGGCCCAG
rnacentral:rRNA from 1 species